GAUUUUCACUAAAAAGAUCUUUCCUAUUUGCCAUGUUUCACAUGGCGCAUGUGGUUAGCCUCAUGAAAGCCCCUGAGCGGGCUUUCUUGAUAAGAUUAGACUAAUAAGAAUUCCUUUUUACUAAUCAGGAUAAACCCAGGAAUCGGACAUUAAUCUAAUCCAAUACAGGUCCAAUACAGGAAUCUGUAUUCAGAUAUUUUAUGAAAACGGAAUUAUUACUAUACUAAAACGCUCUAAACAAGGAGAUGCCCCUUUUAGGUAGUAUCAGUCGAAGACUGAUUUUAACACGGGAACUACAAACCACUUUUUUCUAAGCAAAUCUCGCUGUGGUAAAGCGCUAAAUAAAUCCUCGUGGUUACCACGACGAUUUAAGGAACACGCAAAUAAACGCGAAUUAGCUACUUUAUUGAA